rnacentral:rRNA from 1 species
UGUAGCAAUACGUAGGGAAGUUAGUGGCGAACGGGUGAGUAAUACUGGGGUAAUCUACCCUGGAGCGGGGAACAACUUCGAGAAAUCGGGGCUAAUUCCCCAUACGCUCCACUGUACAUAAAGUGCAGAGGAGGAAAGGUGGCCUCUGCUUGCAAGCUACCACUCUGGGAUGAGCUCCUGGCCUAUCAGCUUGUUGGUGAGGUAACGGCUCACCAAGGCACAGACGGGUAGCCGGCCUGAGAGGGUGAUCGGCCACACGGGCACUGCGACACGGGCCCGACUCCUACGGGAGGCAGCAGUCUAGAAAAUUGCGCAAUGGGCGCAAGCCUGACGCAGCGACGCCGCGUGCGGGAUGAAGUCCUUCGGGAUGUAAACCGCUGUCCCGGGAGGCGAUGGGGCGCAUACCCAAUACGUAUGCGCUUUGACGGUAUCCCGGAAGAAAGCACCGGCUAACUACGUGCCAGCAGCCGCGGUAAUACGUAGGGUGCAAGCGUUGCCCGGAUUCACUGGGCGUAAAGGGUGCGUAGGCGGAUUGGUAAGUCUGCUGUGAAAUCUCCGGGCUUAACCCGGAAACUGCGGUCGAUACUGCCGGUCUAGAGGACAGAAGAGGAGAGCGGAACUCCUGGUGUAGCGGUAAAAUGCGUGGAUAUCAGGAGGAAGGCCGAUGGCGAAGGCAGCUCUCUGGGAUGUUCCUGACGCUGAUGUACGAAAGCUAGGGUAGCAAACCGGAGUUAAUACCCGGAUAGUCCUAGUCGUAAACGAUGUACACUAGGAUUGGCAUCAGUCAGUGCCGGAGCUAACCAUUAGUGUACCGCCUGGGGACUACGGCCGCAAGGCUAAAACUCAAAGAAUUGAAG